rnacentral:pre_miRNA from 1 species
UUGCCGGCCGUCGGCAGAACCGUUACCAUUACUAAACUCAGUAAUGGUAACGGUUUCCCCGCCGGCCGCGGG